rnacentral:rRNA from 1 species
AGAGUUUGAUCCUGGCUCAGGACGAACGCUGGCGGCGUGCUUAACACAUGCAAGUCGAGCGGAAAGGCCCCUUCGGGGGUACUCGAGCGGCGAACGGGUGAGUAACACGUGAGUAAUCUGCCCUGCGCUUCGGGAUAGCCACUCGAAAGGGUGAUUAAUACCGGAUAUGACUCAUCUCCGCAUGGGGUGUGAGUGGAAAGUUUUUUCGGCGCAGGAUGUGCUCGCGGCCUAUCAGCUUGUUGGUGGGGUAAUGGCCUACCAAGGCUUCGACGGGUAGCCGGCCUGAGAGGGUGACCGGCCACACUGGGACUGAGACACGGCCCAGACUCCUACGGGAGGCAGCAGUGGGGAAUAUUGGACAAUGGGCGGAAGCCUGAUCCAGCAACGCCGCGUGAGGGAUGACGGCCUUCGGGUUGUAAACCUCUUUCAGCACAGACGAAGCGCAAGUGACGGUAUGUGCAGAAGAAGGACCGGCCAACUACGUGCCAGCAGCCGCGGUAAUACGUAGGGUCCGAGCGUUGUCCGGAAUUAUUGGGCGUAAAGGGCUCGUAGGCGGUUUGUCGCGUCGGGAGUGAAAACCAGGUGCUUAACACCUGGCCUGCUUUCGAUACGGGCAGACUUGAGGCAUGCAGGGGAGAACGGAAUUCCUGGUGUAGCGGUGAAAUGCGCAGAUAUCAGGAGGAACACCGGUGGCGAAGGCGGUUCUCUGGGCAUGUUCUGACGCUGAGGAGCGAAAGUGUGGGGAGCGAACAGGAUUAGAUACCCUGGUAGUCCACACCGUAAACGUUGGGCGCUAGGUGUGGGAUCCAUUCCACGGGUUCCGUGCCGCAGCUAACGCAUUAAGCGCCCCGCCUGGGGAGUACGGGCCGCAAGGCUAAAACUCAAAGGAAUUGACGG